rnacentral:rRNA from 1 species
UUGACAUCAAAUCAGGUAGGACUACCCGCUGAACUUAAGCAUAUCAAUAAGCGGAGGAAAAGAAACUAACAAGGAUUCCCCUAGUAACUGCGAGUGAAGCGGGAAGAGCUCAAAUUUUGAAUCUGGCGGUCUAUGGCCGUCCGAGUUGUAAUCUAGAGAAGCGUUUUCCGCGCUGGCCCGUGUACAAGUCUCCUGGAAAGGAGCGUCAUAGAGGGUGAGAAUCCCGUCUUUGACACGGACUACCAGUGCUAUGUGAUGCGCUCUCGACGAGUCGAGUUGUUUGGGAAUGCAGCUCAAAAUGGGUGGUAAAUUCCAUCUAAAGCUAAAUACAGGCGAGAGACCGAUAGCGAACAAGUACCGUGAGGGAAAGAUGAAAAGAACUUUGGAAAGAGAGUUAAACCGUACGUGAAAUUGCUGAAAGGGAAACGCUUGAUGUCAGUCGCGUCGGCUGGGGAUCAACCUUGCUUCUCGCUGGGUGUAUUUCCUGGUCGACGGGUCAGCAUCAGUUUCGGUCGCCGUACAAGGGYGAGGGGAACGUGGCACUCUCCG